rnacentral:rRNA from 1 species
UACGUAGGUGGCAAGCGUUACUCGGAAUCACUAGGCGUAAAGCGCAGGUAGGCGGUUUGGUAAGUCUGUUGUGAAAGCUCCCGGCUCAACUGGGAGAGGCCAACGGAAACUACCAGGCUAGAGUGUGGUAGAGGAAGCUAGAAUUCCCGGUGUAGCGGUGAAAUGCGUAGAUAUCGGGAGGAAUACCUAUGGCGAAGGCAGCUCGCUGGGACGGUACUGACGCUGAGGCGCGAAAGCGUGGGGAGCAAACAGG